rnacentral:rRNA from 1 species
UACGAAGAGGGCUAGCGUUGCUCGGAAUCACUGGGCGUAAAGCGCACGUAGGCGGCUUUCUAAGUCAGGGGUGAAAUCCUGGAGCUCAACUCCAGAACUGCCUUUGAUACUGAAGAUCUUGAGUUCGGGAGAGGUGAGUGGAACUGCGAGUGUAGAGGUGAAAUUCGUAGAUAUUCGCAAGAACACCAGUGGCGAAGGCGGCUCACUGGCCCGAUACUGACGCUGAGGCACGAAAGCGUGGGGAGCAAACAGG